UUCCCAGACUCCUACGGGAGGCAGCAGUGGGGAAUAUUGCACAAUGGGCGCAAGCCUGAUGCAGCCAUGCCGCGUGUAUGAAGAAGGCCUUCGGGUUGUAAAGUACUUUCAGCGGGGAGGAAGGCGAUAAGGUUAAUAACCUUGUCGAUUGACGUUACCCGCAGAAGAAGCACCGGCUAACUCCGUGCCAGCAGCCGCGGUAAUACGGAGGGUGCAAGCGUUAAUCGGAAUUACUGGGCGUAAAGCGCACGCAGGCGGUCUGUCAAGUCGGAUGUGAAAUCCCCGGGCUCAACCUGGGAACUGCAUUCGAAACUGGCAGGCUGGAGUCUUGUAGAGGGGGGUAGAAUUCCAGGUGUAGCGGUGAAAUGCGUAGAUAUGUGGAAGAACACCGAUGGCGAAGGCAGCCUCCUGGGACGCAACUGACGCUCAUACACGAAAGCGUGGGGAGCAAACAGGAUUAGAUACCCCUGUA
rnacentral:rRNA from 1 species